rnacentral:misc_RNA from 1 species
AAGCCAACACCAAAUUAACUCUUAGCUCCGAAGGAAUGCCACAGUAGCAACACGUGAUCCCACAGAUCCGCCAAACAUGAAUGUGGGAUAUGUUUGAACAUGAUUGAGAUAUCGGAAUACAGGAUGAUCUCCAGAUACUUGGUCCUUCCGAGUCUCUAAUCCCUGGGACAGAUUAGUCCUCUGGUUGAAACUUUCCACUUCAUGCACCAGUUCAUCCUUUGUACUGUUACACGAGGUGAUCACCAAUAUUCCACCAGAUGCAACCAACUUUGAAACAGAAUCCCAGUACAUGAUCCUUUUGAUAGGACCAUCAGGAUGCAAUCCAAUGGCAUCUAAAGUUCCUUUAUCCAUCACAAGCUGGAACUGUCUUUCUACCUUUGUUUCAAGAAUAUCAACAACCAGAAAGUUGAUGUUGGAAAAACCAUCACGAUCAGCAAGGCUCCUGGCAAGGUAAAUUGCCCCUUCACUAUAAUCAACUCCAGUUAAAUCAGAGAACCCCUGUUUAGCAAGUUCUUGAAGGAGCAAACCGUUGCCAGUUCCAAUGUCAAGUACACUCCAGCUAGACAAAUAUUUAUCUCCCUGUUCACCAGGUUCAGACUUGACAUCAUCAACAUGAUUAGGAAUGUGACCUUGUGAAAUCUCAAUGCACAAGCUCUUGGUCCAAGAAACAACAACAUCCAUUACAUCAGACCCAAACCAUAUUUCACCAGCAUGGCCAUGCUCACGAAAGUUUGCCAACUCAUCUGCAUAUGCAGCAUCCCAAUAAGUCUGAAGACCUAGCAUUGAUGCCACCCCUUCACCAUCUGCUUCGUCCUUGUCAGAAUUGUAAUCAGAAGCAGCACGGAAAUUGGCAGAAGAAAGAGCCUCGGCUGCAUCGGCGUGGCGUUGAUCAUCAUCGAGAGUGCUUCCAUAGUCGCUCUUAAUGGACCAGGAGUCGGCAGCAACAGACCUCUCGUCGUCGGAAACCAGAUCAGCAGUGGUAGCUCGGGUUUGCAGCUGUGUAAGGUCGGCUUCUUCCGGUUGCAACCGUAUUCCCGCCAUGAAAGUGUAUGAUUAAACUGAGGAGAGGCAAGGGAGACGGCUUUGGAGAUUUGCG